rnacentral:rRNA from 1 species
GACGAACGCUGGCGGCGUGCCUAAUACAUGCAAGUAGAACGCUGAAGGAGGAGCUUGCUUCUCUGGAUGAGUUGCGAACGGGUGAGUAACGCGUAGGUAACCUGCCUGGUAGCGGGGGAUAACUAUUGGAAACGAUAGCUAAUACCGCAUAAGAGUAGAUGUUGCAUGACAUUUGCUUAAAAGGUGCAAUUGCAUCACUACCAGAUGGACCUGCGUUGUAUUAGCUAGUUGGUGGGGUAACGGCUCACCAAGGCGACGAUACAUAGCCGACCUGAGAGGGUGAUCGGCCACACUGGGACUGAGACACGGCCCAGACUCCUACGGGAGGCAGCAGUAGGGAAUCUACGGCAAUGGACGGAAGUCUGACCGAGCAACGCCGCGUGAGUGAAGAAGGUUUUCGGAUCGUAAAGCUCUGUUGUAAGAGAAGAACGAGUGUGAGAGUGGAAAGUUCACACUGUGACGGUAUCUUACCAGAAAGGGACGGCUAACUACGUG